UACGAAGGGGGCUAGCGUUGUUCGGAAUUACUGGGCGUAAAGCGUGUUCAGGCGGCCUGGCAAGUCGGGCAUGAAAUCUCUCGGCUCAACCGAGAGAGGCUGUCCGAUACUGCUGGGCUUGAGGACGGUAGAGGGUGGUGGAAUUCCGCGUGUAGUGGUGAAAUGCGUAGAUAUGCGGAGGAACACCAGUGGCGAAGGCGGCCACCUAGACCGUCCCUGACGCUCAAACACGAAAGCUAGGGGAGCAAACAGG
rnacentral:rRNA from 1 species